UCCCCUACUCGGGCAAGCAACAGACCCUUUUUAACAACCUCUUAUGAUUUAUUCACUUCCUCUAGCAUUGGCUUCCUUCUUACCUAUGAUAUCCCCAAGAGCUAAUUCGAUAGCAGUUGCAUAGGAGCUAGCUUGGAAAGAGAGGAGGCAUCCUUAUCUGAGCCGAUCGUUAGCCUAUUUCUUCUUUCUUACCUUUGAUAUCCCCAAGAGCUAAUUCGAUAGCAGUUGCAUCGGAGCUAGCUUGGAAAGAGAGGAGGCAUCCUUAUCUGAGCCGAUCGUUAG
rnacentral:lncRNA from 1 species